rnacentral:ncRNA from 1 species
UCGGUCCUCGGUAGUGGUUUCCGGAAUCCUUUACGGAUUUCCGUGGACCUCGAUCGAAGACCG